rnacentral:pre_miRNA from 1 species
CCAGGCUGAGGUAGUAGGUUGUAUAGUUUAGAGUUACACCACGGGAGAUAACUGUACAACCUCCUAGCUUUCCCUGA